rfam:Ricinus communis cultivar Hale ctg_1100012355280, whole genome shotgun sequence.
GGGUGCUAUCAUACCUGCACUAAUGCACCGGAUCCCAUCAGAAAUCCGAAGUUAAACGUGCUUGGGCGAGAGUAGUACUAAGAUGGGUGACCUGUUGGGAAGUCCUCGUGUUGCACCCA